rnacentral:siRNA from 1 species
CUGGCCCCUUCUGUAUCACUGAGG